rnacentral:tRNA from 1 species
AACUGGGUAGAAUAUUUUAAAGUUUGCUGGGUUGUGGUCUCAGAGGUGGAAUUUACUUCCUUCAGUUU